rnacentral:lncRNA from 1 species
ACCCCUAGUACCUCAGAAUGUGACUAGUAUUGGGAGACAGGGCCUUCAAAGAAGUGGUUAAGAUGACAGUAUUAGGAUGGGGUCUGAGCCAAUCUUACGAGGGGUAUCCUUGUAAGAGGAGGAGAUUAGGACACAGCACCACAGAGGGAAGACCUUGUGAGGACACAGGGAGAAGAUGGCAUCCAUAGGCCUGGGAGAAGUCACAGGACUCCCCAUAGGCCAGGGAGUCCUGUCGUGGACUUCUAGCCUCCAGAACUGUGAGUUAAGGAAUUUCUGUCACUUGUGCUACCGAGCGUGCAGGGGCAGCAUUAUGGAGGCCCUGGAAAACUUACAGCCAUCUUCCCUCCCUGUGCGGACACCAUGACCAGAGCCUCUGCCCCUGAGACCAAACAUACAAAACUCGCCUCACUGCCAGCCCCAUGCCCAAGACGCCUGAGGGUAAAGCAGUCUCACAAGUUUUGUCUGCAGAUGGGACAUGAUACUGUGAAAGUCUUAGCACCCUCUGCACUCUCAGCAGGGGCCCAGCCCACCUGUAAGGACCUCUUCUUCCAGAAACUCCCUUGACCUCACUGCUCUUCUUUCUCCAUCUCCUGUGAACACCCAUGCUAGGGGUUCUCCAAUAGAAAUGCACAGAAAAAAUGAUCUUGUUAAGUCAUAAUCAUCAAACAUUCUUCUGCUGGUUCUACAUCCAAUCUCCUCAAUUAGAAUCUCGGGAACCCGAAAAGGGGAAACACACACACACGCACCGACAGAAGAAGACAUGAUGGAGAGACAAUGGGUGCCACAGUCUCCCAUCCGUAUCUGCCAGCCCCGCAGCACACGGCAUAAUUCAACUGUAAUUGAUAAUGUGAGGGCAGAUGGAGAGGACUGUCAGCUCCUCCCUUGGAUCUCUGGGGACCCGGCAGAAAUCAAAGCAGAUGGCCCAAUUGCUUCUUCUUUAUGUGUUGCUGCGAGCUCCUCUGUCUGCAGGAUAAUGGAUCAUUACGGCCUGCUGUGUACAAACACCAAUAUGCUUUUAAAUCUGGUUCUCAAGCUUAUGAAAAAGCACUAUAUUUCAUAUUAAUUUGUGGAAGCUGCACUUAACAAGGUCCACUGUUGUUAAUUUACGGUUUGGGAGCCGGGG